UGGCUUUGGAAUCCCAGCCAUGUGAACCAGAGCAGUGAGCCUCUCCAACUCUCAGCUUCUCAUCUGUAUAACUCCCAGAGUCAUAGGAUGCGAGAGCUGAACAUUCUACUGUGAGCUGAUUACAUUUUCCAGAUCUUGAUGGUGAACGACUGUUUGUAGAUCCCAUCAGAAGAGCCCAGAUAUAUUUGCUGAAACCUUCAAAUAUGGAACAAAACUUUAAAGGACAGCAUCCUGUUUUACUUAGAAAGAGAAUGGAAUGCAUUUAGUCGCAUGCAGAAAAAGAAUCACCCUUUCAGCUCAA